UGGGGAAUAUUGGACAAUGGGCGAAAGCCUGAUCCAGCCAUGCCGCGUGUGUGAAGAAGGUCUUCGGAUUGUAAAUCACUUUAAGUUGGGAGGAAGGGCAUUAACCUAAUACGUUAGUGUUUUGACGUUACCGACAGAAUAAGCACCGGCUAACUCUGUGCCAGCAGCCGCGGUAAUACAGAGGGUGCAAGCGUUAAUCGGAAUUACUGGGCGUAAAGCGCGCGUAGGUGGUUUGUUAAGUUGGAUGUGAAAUCCCCGGGCUCAACCUGGGAACUGCAUUCAAAACUGACUGACUAGAGUAUGGUAGAGGGUGGUGGAAUUUCCUGUGUAGCGGUGAAAUGCGUAGAUAUAGGAAGGAACACCAGUGGCGAAGGCGACCACCUGGACUAAUACUGACACUGAGGUGCGAAAGCGUGGGGAGCAAACA
rnacentral:rRNA from 1 species